rnacentral:rRNA from 1 species
UACGUAGGGGGCAAGCGUUGUCCGGAAUCAUUGGGCGUAAAGCGCGUGUAGGCGGUCCGAUAAGUCGGUUGUGAAAGUCCAGGGCUCAACCCUGGGAUGCCGACCGAUACUGUCGGACUAGAGUUCGGAAGAGGCGAGUGGAAUUCCCGGUGUAGCGGUGAAAUGCGCAGAUAUCGGGAGGAACACCGGUGGCGAAGGCGGCAUCCUGGACCAAUAUUGACGCUGAGGAGCGAAAGCCAGGGGAGCAAACGGG